GUAGAAGCUUCCUGCUAGACUCUUUCUCAUUCCUUUUUGUUCCCCUCCAAUUGCUCUGAUCGGGAGCUGUUGAUGAUGAUGACAGUGCUAGCUGUCCAUUGAUUCGCAGUGGCCCCUGGUCGAGAGGUUCACAGCAGAUGACACUCUUCUUUUGGCUUUAAUUAGAGCAGCCCCCGUCUUCUCUUCUCUGCUGCCCUGGAUGUGGUUCGACACAUGAACACAAAAAGCUUCUACACACAGAACUCCCCUGCUAGGAAAUAGCAGCUACCUCCUACUGCAGUGAGUAUUCAGUUCCUCUACUCUCAACCUGCAUGGUCAAAAAGAUGUUUUGUCUCUUGUACUUAAAAAAGACCAAACUGUGAACAGAGGAACACUUUUGUUUUCAAAAGACAGACAGACCCUUUAAAAGGGAUUUUGUGCAAAUGUGCAUUUUCAGCUGAAACUUUCUUUACUGAAAAAUUUAAUCAACUCAGAACUGCCAAAAACUGCAGUUCCCCUCUUGGCCACUGGAGGCUUUCUUUUGAAGUUACCCGGGAAUCCCACUGGAUCCGGAGCGGCUCAGCUCCGUUUCAGACCGGCAGGCGGCUCAGAUACGCUAGCAAACAUCGCCCAUCGGACCCGAUCUGCUGCCGCCAUUGGAGGAGAAGCAGUCGGGAGAUUACUGAUAUUUCCUGUGAGACUAGGCGAGAUCUCACAAGAUCUUGCGUGUUUCCCCGUGAGACAUUGAAUGAGAUCCGCGGAUAGGUGUAUAUAAACGGCGGUGUAUAUAAACACCCACAUCCCUAAACCCUGGCCUCUACUAUUAUCAAGGGAAGAACAGUUCAAUGUAUUGACUUCAUUUUAUGUUAAAAAUUAACCGGAAAUUUUACUCUGUAGCUGCAUACAAUUUCCACUGCUGCUCGUGCUGCGCUACACUGAAUUGAUGCACCCUGCUGGGAUUUCCGGCUGAAACAGAAGUCUUGCGUAUCCGAUCUGCAGCGAACCCGGAUGGCGGACGGAUAGUGUGGAAUCACACACGUUGAUUAUAAUGCUUGCGUAUUUCAUCGUUCCAAAUCCUGUGGGUUUUAACCGUUAGUCAGUCCCCAAUAAUCAACAUAUUGAAACAUCUAACUUUGGAUGAAAAUCCAACAGAUCAAUAUCCUGAUAAAUAUAUUUUUUUUUUAUGACAGCUGUAAUAGGAAUGAUCCUUUUUUUUCAUUUUUAACCCUCUAAAAUACUUUUACUUGUUAUUUUUGACCUGGUAUUGUUAAAUAAGAGUAACCCUUUACAUGUUCAUUUUAAAUUUUCACAACCAACAUGUGUCAAACUGAUAGAAAAUAUCUGUCAACAAACUAAUCUGCCCGAUGAUGCUUUUACAAUCCUAAAAAAAAAAAAGCUCCUCUGCUACUUUUUUUAGAUGACCAUUUUCAUGUCCUCCAUGCAGCAUUAUAUUUCUCUUUGCUCUGCCAGGAGAUCCAGGGGCCUCAUCUUACCAUCUGUCCCAAACAUGAGCCUCUCCAAACCUGGGUGGGAGUGGAGUGGAGGAGCGAGUGGACGGGGAGAGUCUGCAGUCUGGUCAGAGACUAUUAUCUCAGUGGUCAUGGGUCCUUGCACAUAUUUCAUGGUUGCACUAAGGGUGUCUCCUCUCAGCUAUUAGCAGACUGUAU